rnacentral:lncRNA from 1 species
UUUUUUUUUUUUUGCAUCCAGCUGAAAGGUACUGAGACAGGAAACAGGAAUACCAAUGUAAGCUCUGAUCUAGAGGAUCAACAAAUGACAAAAGCACAGGCACACUCUUGAAAUAAUGCCCAGAGUUCACUGUGAUAUAUCCCACUUUUGAUUUCAUACUGGGCCACAAUUCUAGAGGUUAGUAGAGAGGAGAAUUUUUGGUUCUUCUUUCUAGAGGCUACUAUAAUCGUGGUCCUUAGGAGUCCUUUGAGAGGUAGUUCCCAACUGGGCCUAGAAUGGCAGAUUCAUUUUCUCCAUAAAAAAAAAUUCAAUUAUUUUCAGACCCAAACAGUAUCUACUUGUCAUGACUGAAGAAGCUUUUUGCGAACAUUAGCUUAGAAGAGCUAGGUUGAAAGUAGCCUACAUCCUUAAUGUCAGAAGCAGUCAUCACCUUUUAAUAAGGAAUUCCUUUCAGUCAUUUGUACUUGAGCAAACCGCAUCCAAUCAUCCUCAUGAGAGUAGGUUAACUGGAAAUAAAAGCCUUCAAUUCUGUAAAUCAAGUUUAAAGGCUUUCAAUUAAGAUGGGAUUGUGAGCCCCUGUUUCCUGUUUCUACCCAUAUUACAGUCAGCAUCUCUCAGACAGGGUGGGGUGCGUGUAUCUCAUGUUAGAUGCUCUGAAGAUGUCUUCUGAGAUACUGAGUAAGGAACACAGGAGGUAGUUGGAAAGCAAGAGGUGAAAGGGAGAGGUAGUCUGGAAGUUGGCUCCCCUUUGAACUCUUAGCUUGUAGAUUAUGAAUUGCAAUGAGCUGUUCAUAACUGAAUUUUGAAUUUAUUGUUAAUUUCUUUUAAAAAUUCCUGUGCCUUCCCCGAAAGUCUUCAUAAAAUUUUGGAUAAAUUCAGUUAGAAAUAAAACACUCAUCCCUUUUGAGGAGUUCUGAUUAAUAUACAGGUGAAAUGACAAGUGUGAUGUAAUUAUUUUGGAGGUCUGUACUGGAUUUUCAGAUAUAGUAAAGACCUUAAGCUUCUAGUCAAUGUGUCUCAAAACAAAAGAAAAUGUGUUUGUUCUGAUGUUCUGGCCAGAGAAAUAGAGCCACAGUGCCCACAUCUGUCUCAGAGGUGAUGGGGACUUGUUACUGUUCUCACAUUGAUAAAUUUAAAAAUACGUGUCUUUCUACUAUACAAAACGUUUUGUAACCAAGGAAAUGAAAAAUCAAUCACAGCUGGCACUUUGCCCAAGCACUGAGCUUGCAACCCAACUGGGUUGCGUUGGAAAGGACAGGCAUUUAGAAAGACAGAGGAAACGUGGCUCCUGAAAACCUCAGGGUUGAUAUGCCUGGAAACCUCAAUUCCGGGAAUUCCUGGUCACCUUUGACUCUCUCUUCCAUUCCCUUCUUCUCUCUUAGAUAUGUAAUACCUCAGUUAAUUAUUGUUUUUCUGUGUGGGCUCAAAAUUUUUCAGUUAUACAUCAGAAUCCUGAUGCAGUCUUCUAUUGCAUAGUUUGGCUCUAUAGUUCUUACUCCCUGAGGCCCAGACCCAUGGAAAGAGUCAAAUGGAACCACUCCAAUGGCCAAUUUGGCUUCAGAGGACAUCACUGUGAUUGCUACUGCUUGCUUCUUUUUAAAUAGUCUGUUGUAUAUAUACUUGUGAUGGGCAGGGCAUUUCACUGAAGGAAAACAUAUUGAAUCUCCCAGCUCAAUUCCAAGUUGUAAGAAUGAGCAUGUCUUACAGAGUCCAUUGGUUAUAUUCAGUUGGCUCCUGGAGGAUUAGAAUGCAGCUUGUCUACGAACCACCUCUCUCUAAAUAAAGAACUUGUUUACCAAGGGUUCACUCUCCCUCAUAUGACUGGGGUCAUGGGUACAUCCAAUUUAUCAAAAGCCAGCAUUUUACAAUGAAAUUAAACUUGCAAUUAAAUUAAUGCUAAUGUAGGUGAUUAGCAGAAUAUACUUAGUGAAUACAUCAAUGCAUUCCCUGUAAUUGAAUUUUAUCUUGUAACAGUGUGCUUUCCUUCAGGGAAUGCCUUUUAAAAGUUUUCCUCUGAUAAAUGUCUCGCUCAUUUAAAAACAUAUGAAUUAAUUCCAGAAAUUUCUCAGGGCUUCCUUUAUUAUAAAAAUUAGUUUAAUCAAUUAAUAACUGUAAUUAUUUAUACAGUGAUUAUUAGACAUAAUUCUUGAUAAUCCUCCCGUGUCUUCUUCACUGGGAAACUGUAUUUUGAAUAUAGACAUUUUAUUUUCCAAAAUCAAAAUUUUUUUAUCCCAUAAUAGUACUAAAGCAAAUUUUGAAUCCUAUAAGUUUUAAGGCUACAGAGUCUGUGGACAUAUAUGUUCUAUAUGCAAAUAUGAAUCAGUUUCCCUCAGAAGGGUUACUUUUAUCCUUCAACAAAUGAUCUAUCCUUGUGCUAGAUGUCUUUCAGAAAUUACUACAAAUUUCAAAGAAGCAUUAUGUUAACUAAUUUCACACAUGAAAAUGCCAUACCAAGUGCAAGACUUGGUUGUAAUGUUGUUUUGCAAUGACUUAGCCCUGCUUUGCCCUUUACAGAGUAUAACUCACUUUUCGUACCUGCAUGUGCUCUGUGUGCUAGGAUGUAAGGCUGAGAGUGUGGCUCACCCUCCUGGCUGAGUGGAUUCAUUUCUUGUAUUUUUAAUCAUUUCCUUUCACCAGAUAAUAUGUAUGAAAGCUUAUAAAGUCAUGUACACUUCCCACUUGACACUUGGAGUUUGUUUCUAAGGGUAAAAAGCUACAUGCACUAGGACAGCAGAGCCACAACAAACAUUUAGCUGCCUUUUUCAUUUAAAAAAUAAAUUUAAUUUAUUUGUAUGGGUGUUUUGGCUGUAUGUAUGCCUAUACACCGUGUGUGUCCCUGGGGACUGCAGAGGCCAGAAGAAAGCCUUGGUUCCCCAGGGCCUGGAGUCAUAGACCAUCCUGAGCCACUGUGUGCAUCCUGGGAAUCAAACCGGUUCCUCCAGAAGAGCUCUUAAUCAUUGAGUCCUCUUUCCAGGCACAGAAAACCUAUCAUUUUUAAAAUUAUAUUUACACUAAUCUUAAAAUUAGUAACUAAUAUUGAAUAUGUUACAUAGUAUCAGGGUGCUGUGUGCCAUAUCAACAUGUACAUGCAUGUCAUAAUGCUUAAAUUAAGAUAAAUAGAUAUGUAUCUGAAAUUAUCAUUUCUUCAUGGCCAACCAUGCACAGACAUGUCUACAGUCACCCUGCUGUGCAGUGGGCCAGAAUCUAUUCCCAUCUCUCCAUAACUGAGUACCCAGCAUCAACUUUUUCCAUCCCUUCUUCCCACUGCUCUCUUUAGCCUCACAACAUUUACUGGCAAAGUGUUUGUAAAAUGAUCACUUCAUUUCACUGACAUUGUCUACAUGGUGACAUGACAUGAGUCUCUGGCCUUUUUCUUUAUGAAACUAUUCUCUCGGGUUUUGUCUCCUAAAGCAACUCGAAAUAGCUAACACAUAUGUGAACUUCAGUCAAGAUCAUCUCUCAAUGAUUGUGAUUAUUCUUGGAGAAACAUUAACAUGCAUUGGAGGGUUGGAGGAUUUUCUUUCUUUCUUUCUUUCUUUCUUUCUUUCUUUCUUUCUUUCUUUCUUUUUUUUUUUUUCUACUGUGAAAUUGAGAAAUAAACCACAAUGUGGCUAAUUAG